GGAAAUGUAGCUUAGUAGUAGAGUGCUUGCCUAGAAUGCACAAGGGCCUAGGUUUGAUUCCCAACAUUUCUA
rnacentral:tRNA from 1 species